GCUGUUACCUGUAGUGAUUCUUACAUUUAAAAUGGUCUCCAAGACAAUAAAACUGAUCAACAAUAUAAACUACAACCAAUAAAAAAAUAUAAACCCUAUAAACUCAAUAUAACAAAUAUUAUGCAAUUAAACUUCAACAUUUUUAUAUUUCAAUAAACUUGCUUGGGGAGAUGAAGAAAUCUAUUUCAGUAUCUUACUGUUGCAGAAAGAGAGAUGGCAAUCAAACCACAUCUUCUUUUUCAUAUUAACCACAAAAUCUAAACAGAUAAACACAGGUUAGAUUAAUCCUGUCAGACAAACAUGAACAUCUUGCAAUCAUUUUAUACAAUAAAUAUAGUUACCAAUUCAAUGUGUAUAGUAUCUGAAAACCAGUCAUAACCAUAAAAAUGAUGUCAUGGUCAGAUGAACCCUGUUUGAAAGACAUAUAACCCUUAUAAGAUUACUAUGUACAUGUUAGAUUGUGUAGUUACCC
rnacentral:lncRNA from 1 species